rnacentral:rRNA from 1 species
GAUGAACGCUAGCUGCAGGCCUAACACAUGCAAGUCGAGCGACCGGCGCACGGGUGAGUAAUACGUAUCCAACCUGCCCUUUACUGGGGGAUAGCCUUUCGAAAGAAAUAUUAAUACCCGAUAGAAAGGAUGGGGAUGCGUUUCAUUAGUAUGUUGGUGAGGUAACGGCCCACCAAGCCUUCGAUAGAUAGGGGUUCUGAGAGGAAGGCCACACUGACUGGGACAGAGACACGAUCCAAACUCGGUCGGGAGGAAGGAGUGAGGAGUAUAGGUGAAUGGGCCGUAGCGUGAACCAGCCAAGUAGAGUGAAGGAUGAAGGGUUAUGGAUCGAAAUCUUCUUUUAUGGAAGGUGAUGUAUUAUAUGAAUAAGGAUCGGCUAACUCCGUGCCAGCAGCCGCGGUAAUUC